UACGGAGGAUGCAAGCGCUAUCCGGAAUGAUUGGGCGUAAAGCGUCCGCAGGUGGCAAUGUAAGUCUGCUGUCAAAGCGUCUGGCUCAACCAGAUAAAGGCAGUGGAAACUACAUAGCUAGAGUAAGGUAGGGGUAGAGGGAAUUCCUGGUGUAGCGGUGAAAUGCGUAGAGAUCAGGAAGAACACCGGUGGCGAAAGCGCUCUGCUGGACCUUAACUGACACUGAGGGACGAAAGCUAGGGGAGCGAAUGGG
rnacentral:rRNA from 1 species